rnacentral:rRNA from 1 species
CCUACGGGUGGCAGCAGUAGGGAAUAUUGCUCAAUGGGGGAAACCCUGAAGCAGCAACGCCGCGUGGAGGAUGAAGGUUUUCGGAUCGUAAACUCCUUUUGUUAGAGAAGAUAAUGACUGUAUCUAACGAAUAAGCACCGUCUAACUCCGUGCCAGCAGCCGCAGGAAUACGGAGGGUGCAAGCGUUACUCGGGUUCACUGGGCGUAAAAAGCGCGUGGGGGGGUUAGCAAGUCAGAUAUGAAAUCCCAUGGCUUAACCAUAAAAAUGCAUUUGAAACUGUUAUUCUAGAGUAUGGGAGAGGUAGGUGGAAUUCUUGGUGUAGGGGUAAAAUCCGUAGAGAUCAAGAGGAAUACUCAUUGCGAAGGCGACCUGCUAGAACAUAACUGACGCUGAUGCGCGAAAGCGUGGGGAGCAAACAGGAUUAGAUACCCUAGUAGUC